CUGAAGCUUUCCAUGUUGUCAUAGCUGAACGGGAUCCAUCGCCAGUGAUCACUGCAAUCAGUGAGUUGAAGAACAUUUGAACGAUCGCAAGUCGCUUGGAUUUUUGAAGAAGAAUUCUUUGCACUACAGUGCCAAAGUAGUACGUGCGUUUCAGCAGAACAACUGCGCCCCCUGCUGAAAUGGGUGUGAAGAUGCUGCAGUGCUUCCCUUUCUACAGACGCUGCAAGGAGAGGUGCAAAAGACAGUGCCCUCCAGAGACAGCAGUAGCAAGUGAAGAGUUGAAACCUCGGCUGUCCUCCACUGCAUCCUGGGGCAGUGAAGGGGACAGUGGCAGUAGUAUGAGCUGCCCACAGGCCUAUUUUUCCCACAAGGCUCGGCUUUCUCUCCGACACCAGAUGGACAGCAACAUCAAUGCAGUGGAUGCCACAUACUAACUCUGUCCCACAAGCAGUCUCUUGAGAAUCCUUGAAAGUGAACUUUAGCCUUUCAGCCGCAAACCAGUUUACAUCCCUUGGUUGAGCGCCUUAGAGGGUAGCUGGAGGAUGAAGCGUUGGGAAGAUGGAAGCAGCAGCAUGGAAAAGAACUAUUUGAAUUUGUGCUCUAAAUUUCACCUCCACGGGCACCCGUGAGUGACACUGUAACAAUGUCAAGAUAAGUGCGUAACAUAAUGGUACAGCUGAGUGUCAUUUGGUGAAAGGGGAAAUGAUGAAACCCUCUAGUGAGUGACGUUUACAUGAUCACAAAGUGCUUUUUUUGUAGCCUGUAGUAUUUGUCCUAUGCAGUCUAUUUUUUACAUGUAUCCGUAGCAUCUGUGAUUCUGAUUUUAACUGAUCUGGAUGCUUCUGGUUGGUUUAAUCUGAGAAGACAAAUAUCUUUAUGCAAUUAAGUAUUUUGAGCUAGAGAACAAUUAGUUCAGAUGUUCACACUACAUAUGCCUCACUAGUCAUAAAUUUAGUGGAUACUAUGAGAGCAACUGAAUAUGUUCACGUAAAUGGAAAGGAGAAUUUUAAAGCUAAUUUUUCUUUCUUUGUAAGUGCCAUUUGUUUUCCUACAAGCUGUAAAAGGUACAUUAACAAGCAUUUAAUGCACAGCUAGAACAUAAUUUCAAGUUCAGUUUGAUUAUCUAUGAUUUAUGCCCUGGGCAUAAACACAUUAUGUCCCAGAAAGGUUUUUGAAGCAAUUCUAAAAAGAUAGUUGUUUCAUGUGCUUGAUGUAUGAUUUAAUGUAUUAAAUGAGAUAGAAAAAAAAAAUGGAGAUGUUCAUCAUGAUCCACUCUAUGCUUCUGUUACAACAAAUUCACAUGUGCUAACAAUGUUUGUGCAUCUGGCUGUCUUCACUUUGUCUUUGUGCAUGUAUACAGGAACAUCAUUUGAGGUUUCAAAAUGUCAUAUAUGGCUUCUUUUUACACCUAAACUACAAAAAGAACAGAUAAUUCACAAAACACUGUUACACGGUCACGAUUAAUUAUUACUGUUAUGAAAGAAUGUUUUUGUAAGUUUUGUAUGAAAGAUUGUAAUUCCAAUUUUAUAAAAUAAAAAUAACCCUAAACUAAAUUAUAUGACGAAAAACAGCAACAAAUGCAAUUUUGUUUUCGUUGUCAAUUGAAAGAAAAAACAAACAA